CCUACGGGUGGCUGCAGUGGGGAAUAUUGGACAAUGGGCGAAAGCCUGAUCCAGCCAUGCCGCGUGUGUGAAGAAGGCCUUCGGGUUGUAAAGCACUUUCAGUGGGGAAGAAAGCCUUGGGGCUAAUACCCUCGAGGAAGGACAUCACCCACAGAAGAAGCACCGGCUAACUCCGUGCCAGCAGCCGCGGUAAUACGGAGGGUGCGAGCGUUAAUCGGAAUUACUGGGCGUAAAGCGCGCGUAGGCGGUCUGAUAAGCCGGUUGUGAAAGCCCCGGGCUCAACCUGGGAACGGCAUCCGGAACUAUCAGGCUAGAGUGCAGGAGAGGAAGGUAGAAUUCCCGGUGUAGCGGUGAAAUGCGUAGAGAUCGGGAGGAAUACCAGUGGCGAAGGCGGCCUUCUGGACUGACACUGACGCUGAGGUGCGAAAGCGUGGGUAGCAAACAGGAUUAGAUACCCGGGUAGUC
rnacentral:rRNA from 1 species